rnacentral:lncRNA from 1 species
ACGGAGUCAGGGCCACUGUGAGGUCAGGGCCACCAUAGGGACAGUCGUGGCCACCACAGGGUCAGUCGUGGCCACCAUGGGGUCAGGGCCACCAUGGGGACGGUUGUGGCCACCAUAAGGAUGGUCAGGGCCACCACAGGGAUGGUCAGGGCCAUCAGAGGGACGGUCAGGGCCACCAUGGGGUCAGGGCCACCACAGGGAUGGUCAGGGCCACCACAGGGAUGGUCAGGGCCACCACAAGGUCAGUUGUGGCCACCAUGGAUUCAGGGCCACCACAGGGACAGUCAGGGCCACCAUAAGGAUGGUCAGGGCCACCAUGGGGUUGUGGCCACCACAGGGUCGGUUGUGGCCACCACAGGGUCGGUCGUGGCCACCACGGGGUCAGUUGUGGCCACCAUGGGGUCAGGGCCACCACGGGGUCAUGGCCACCACAGGGUCGGUUGUGGCCACCACGGGGUCGUUUGUGGCCACCACGGGGUUGUGGCCACCAC